GCACUCUGGAUUGCUCACAGGAGGGCUGUCCUGCAGGGGUCCCACCCACAGGUAGGGCAAGGAGUGGCCGCCUUCUCUGAACUCUGGUGCUGCAGUUUCUUUCCUUACCUGUGCUAAACCCUUGUGGUAGGGAGAGUGUCCAGUGGAGCUGUCAUCAUCCCCCCUCUCCCCCGCCCACCUGUCCUGCUGGCUCUGGGCUGUUGCUGCCCUCUCUCCUGCAGGGAGCCUGGAGAGGUUAGCGGGAGACAUGUGAGGAGAGCUUUUUCCCUGGCUGCUUACCCUCUGCAUUGCCCAGCUCCCCAGACGUGUGAUGUUCUCUGCGGCACCCUGCCGAGAAGCCCUCAGGACAGCUUUCCACACGCUGGCAUGGAUACAACCUGGUAGCUGAAUGUAACUAGACUGGAAGACUCUGCAGGC
rnacentral:lncRNA from 1 species